UCCAGGCGCAGGCGGAUCUUCAGGCACCGGAGGCCAGAACAUGCUUCUUGCGAGCAGGAGGAGCCCCCUCAGCCACACCAGCUUGGAAGACAGUGGGCUUAAGUCAAGGGCACCUGCAGCCCACCUGCAGGAAGGAAAUCAGAAGUCGCAUUUCUAAGAGCUCGUAGGGUGUGAUUCAUUUUCCUCCAUAUAUCAGAAAACACCAAUUCUGGACUUAGUUCAUUUGUGCACUGAAAGCUGGAACUUCAGAAGAAACACUUUCUGGUUUAAUUUAACACAACCACAUGUGUAUUCCUCAGCUGAAUUUCA